rnacentral:rRNA from 1 species
UACGGAGGAUGCGAGCGUUAUCCGGAUUUAUUGGGUUUAAAGGGUGCGUAGGCGGACUGUCAAGUCAGCGGUAAAAUUGGGAGGCUCAACCUCUUCCCGCCGUUGAAACUGGUGGUCUUGAGUGGAUGAGAAGUACGCGGAAUGCGUGGUGUAGCGGUGAAAUGCAUAGAUAUCACGCAGAACUCCGAUUGCGAAGGCAGCGUACCGGCAUCCAACUGACGCUGAGGCACGAAAGCGUGGGGAUCAAACAGG